rnacentral:sRNA from 1 species
GAUCGCUGGGCCAGCUCUGCUCCCUGCAGUCUGCCCUCCGGCUGCGUGUGGAUGCUGCUCUUCCUCGCCCUGUGGGCCCUGGUGCCCUGCCUGGUGUUGUUAACCCUCUACUUUUUCUCCUCCACAGGAGGGAAGAGUGGGGGAAACAAGAAGAGUGAUGGUGUGAAGGAAUCCUCAGAGAGCACCAACACCACCAUCGAGGAUGAAGACACCAAAGUGCGGAAACAGGAAAUUAUAAAAGUGACAGAGCAGCUGAUUGAAGCCAUAAGCAAUGGAGAUUUUGAGUCCUACACGAAGAUGUGCGACCCUGGCAUGACAGCCUUCGAACCUGAGGCCCUGGGGAACCUGGUUGAGGGCCUGGACUUCCAUCGAUUCUAUUUUGAAAACCUGUGGUCCCGGAACAGCAAGCCCGUGCACACCACCAUCCUGAAUCCCCACAUCCACCUGAUGGGCGACGAGUCAGCCUGCAUCGCCUACAUCCGCAUCACGCAGUACCUGGACGCUGGCGGCAUCCCACGCACCGCCCAGUCGGAGGAGACCCGCGUCUGGCACCGCCGGGACGGCAAAUGGCAGAUCGUCCACUUCCACAGAUCUGGGGCGCCCUCCGUCCUGCCCCACUGAGGGACCAGGCUGGGGUCGCUGCGUUGCUGUGCCGCAGAGAUCCACUCUGUCCGUGGAAUGGAGCUGCUGGUUCUCCCAGGUGGAUUUUGCUGGAAUUCUCCCAUGUCAUCACCCCACCACCGUCACUUCUGUACCUGCAUCAAGAAAACCUGCUUGUUCACAAAAGUCAUCGCAACUUCAGAGCGAACGGCCACAUCUCCCCACCUCUCACCCCCACCCUCUCCCCUGCCAGGCUGGGGCUUCCUCAGGCAUGGGUGUCCACAGCACUGGCCCCCUCUCCCCAGCCUCAGCUGCUGUCCGCCUGGCCUGUCUUGGGCUGUAGGCUAGAAUGCCCGGGCUGUGUGCCCACCAGGGGCUGGGGAGAAGGAGGGGUGGCAUGAUGAGGAAGGCGGCAUCCGUCCGUCCCUCUCCCAGACCUCUCCUCUUCCAGUGUCCCCGGGGAAGGGCAGAUGACACUCCCUUCCCCCUAAGCCAACCGCACUGAAGGAGUGGGGAGAAGAGCAUACGCCAGGAGCCUCCUGCCUCAAAGUGCCCCCCUAAGUCUUCUUCCUCCUGUGCUGACCUCAGGGUGGUCUGACCCUUCCCUCGGUGUGGGGGAUGUGGCCCUCUCAGGUGCCCCUACUUGCUUUCUGCUUCCUUCUGGUGAAGUCCACCUCCAACAUUAACCUGCCCACCCCACUCCCGUCAUCCCUGGAGAAUUCCAGCUUUGUCAUAUCUCAGAGAGGGAAUCUAAUUGUUUUUGGGGGGCAAAAGAAAGCAACGUUUAGGUAUCACUUCUACUUGGACCGCAUGCCUUUUUAUAGCCAAAUUUCUGUGUAUUUCGUAAAUGGAUUUCGCGUUAAUGGAUAUUUAUGUAAUAACUAGACUUCUCAGAUUAUUGUGAGAAGGGUCAGGUUGGAAGGGGUGUAGGAAGAGGGGUGAGGGGUUGUUUUUUUCU